CCUACGGGAGGCAGCAGUGAGGAAUAUUGGUCAAUGGACGCAAGUCUGAACCAGCCAUGCAGCGUGCAGGAUGACGGCCCUAUGAGUUGUAAACUGCUUUUAUACAGGGAUAAACUGGAAUACGUGUAUUUAAUUGCAAGUACUGUAUGAAUAAGGAUCGGCUAACUCCGUGCCAGCAGCCGCGGUAAUACGGAGGAUCCAAGCGUUAUCCGGAUUUAUUGGGUUUAAAGGGUGCGUAGGCGGAUUGUUAAGUGAGUUGUGAAAUGUCGGGGCUCAACCGGGGAACUGCAGCGAAUACUGUUGAUCUUGAGUGCAGAUGAGGUAGGCGGAAUUCAUGGUGUAGCGGUGAAAUGCUUAGAUAUCACGAAGAACACCGAUUGCGAAGGCAGCCUAC
rnacentral:rRNA from 1 species